CACAAUCGGCAUGUGACAGAACGUAACAGGAAACGUGCGAACAAGAAGAAACCAACUGUGGUGACGACAAUGUUCAUUAAUGUAGAGGUCUUUGUCGGAAGAAGAAAUCAAGAAAACGAAACAAACUAACCUGUGCUGUCACGUGGAGCCUCUUAUGAUUGACCAAGACGACCCUGGGACUUUUAUGGAAGUGGCGGCCCCACUCCAUCUGAAUACAAUACCGACGAAAUGGAAAAAAGGUGGGUACCCACAACUUACUCUGGUCAAUCUAUGAGACUCAUCUACACGGAGAGUGUAAACAAAUCCUGACUGUCACAGAAGCAAAAGGCAAGGAUUUGCACGA